rnacentral:rRNA from 1 species
AGAUUGAACGCUGGCGGCAGGCCUAACACAUGCAAGUCGAGCAGUAGAGAGGUGCUUGCAUCUCUUGAGAGCGGCGGACGGGUGAGUAAUGCCUAGGAAUCUGCCUAGUGGUGGGGGAUAACGUUCGGAAACGGACGCUAAUACCGCAUACGUCCUACGGGAGAAAGCGGGGGACCUUCGGGCCUCGCGCCAUUGGAUGAGCCUAGGUCGGAUUAGCUAGUUGGUGAGGUAAUGGCUCACCAAGGCGACGAUCCGUAACUGGUCUGAGAGGAUGAUCAGUCACACUGGAACUGAGACACGGUCCAGACUCCUACGGGAGGCAGCAGUGGGGAAAUAGUUGGACAAGUGGGACGAAAGCCUGAUCCAGCCAUGCCGCGUGUGUAGAAGAAGGUCUUCGGAUUGAAAGCAAUUUAAGUGGGAGGUAAGGUUGUAAACCUAAUACGUUAGCUAACGUUUGAACGUUAACCGACAAGAAUAACGCAACCGGCUAAACCGUUCGU